CCUGGGUUAAGGUUACAGGACACCCUUUUUGGCGUUUUGCGGAAAAUCGCUACUGCGCGCUCAAUAUCAGUCCGAUUUUCAUCAAAUUUUCACCAAAUGUUCUCCAGUGCAUGCAAAAUAUGGUAAAGUUGUAAAAUUAACAAACAAUAAAAUAAUGUAAGCAUUAUUCAGGAAAAUCUUAAAUCGCGGUACCGUUACGCUUUUGAGUUGUGCUCCUGCUGGUUUUAAGUUAUAUUUAUGAAAAUAUAAUUUUUAUACAGUAAAAUAGUUGUUCUAAAAAAUUGUGUUCGGAAAUUUUUGUUUAUUUCGUCAUUCCGCUGAUAUGGCGAUUUCUUUGACGACUGCAAUAUAUUUCUGAAUUGUUUGAGUGAAUUGCUCUUUAUUAUUAAAAUAUCCAAAAUUUAAAAAAAGCCGAACACAAUUUUGAAACUGACGUAUUUAGCUAUGUCCUGUGAAAAUUUGAGAAAAAUUGGUUAAAACCCGCAGGAGCACAACUCGUUUGAAAAUCAGUAAUUACCGUAAAAUUUUUCGGGAG